GAUCAACUAUAUCAAUUGAAAGAGGAGAUUUUAAACUUUUUUUACGUCUUAAUCCAAACCUAUCUCAUUCCGUCUUCACAUAGCAAGCGUUCAAAACUUGAUAUAGGGUCUCUCAGGCCCACUUACGUUUUUAAGGGUUAAACGUAUUCUAAAGAAAUCAAUUUUUGAAUGCGAUUUAUAAGUUUCCAAUUAAUUACUUUUAAAAAUUUGUUAAUUUUUUUAUGUGCAUUUUAUUACAACUAUAUAUAGUUGCAGCAAAUAAAUAAUGGUUUAAAUAGGUAAAAGUUUAAUUUAAUCUUUGCGUUAUGGUGUAGCUUUAGAAGCUACACCUACCACGUUUAUUUUAUCAAUGAAUCAAUUGUUUCACGUAUUUCUUUAACAUGUUUGAUAUUACUAAAUUGUUAAAAGUUUCUUCUAACUAAUAAAUUGGGUUUUAAAAUUAUAUUUAAAUAAAUAAUUUGUCAUUAAUAAAUAUAUACUAAAAAAUUGUAGAGAUUAAAUUCGUUUGCAUAAAAUUUUUCAUAAUAACUUAUACUUCAAAAUCACAAUCCGAGGGUUUUUGAGGUUGCUGAUUACGAAUUUGAUGUCAAAAAUGAAAAAUGGCGGAUACAAUAUGGCAGACAAAAUUAUCAAAAUUGACUGGAUUUGCUUGAAACUUGCUAUUUACGGGUUCUCGAGGUUUUUGAUUACAAAUUCAAUGUCAAAAAUACAAAAUUAAAAAUGCCAGAUGUAAUAUGGUGGACCGAUAUGAUAUACGUAAUUUUUGAAGUUUUAAAUAAAUUUGGUUGAUUUAAAAAAUUCUGUCUGCCAUAUUGGAUCCAUAAUUUUUAAUUUAUAUUUUUAACAUUGGAUUCUUAAUUAGUGACCUUCAAAACUUUUGAGUAACAUGUUUUUAGCGAAUUUAGUUGAUUUUGAAAAUUCCGUCCACCAUAUUGGAUAUGCCAUUUUGAAUUUUAUAUUUUUCACAUCGAGUUUAUACUCGAUAACCCUCAAAAACUCCCCAGAUAAGAAGUUACACACAUUAUAUUUAUUAGGAAAAAAAUGCCACAAAGAGUUAAUAUUAUUUUUAAAGCUUUUUUAUACUAAAUACUAUUGAAGUCAAUAUAUUUUUAAUGGAAAUACAUAACGAAUUGUUUAAAGAAUAUAUUUGUUAGUUGCAAGUAAAUUAAUUUUUUAUUGGAGUGAUCAUAUUUUGUUGCAAGAAAAUUUUAUUACUUUUCUUGUUCGCGUAAUUCAAAUGCUGAUUGACAUUUGGAUUGCGUGCAGGUUGAUGAGAUAAAGGGAAUAUUGGUAGCUGGUAGAAAAUGUACAUUUUUUGCUGAGCCCUGUUUUAAAAUAUGUAUUUGUUGAAAUAUUCUAUUAUUGUUGAAAAUUACAGAUAAUUUUGGAGUUAUUUAUUUACUUUUUAGUUACUAUUAUAAAUAAAUCUUAAAUAGAAAAUGUAAUUUCAUAAAAUUACAAAAUGCCAUUUCUCAAUAUCAUUUUAGUUUUCUGACAUGUAUUUUAAAGUAUAGAAAUAUUAUAACACAAAAUUAUAUUGUUAUUAUUUUUUUAACAUUAAAUAAGAAACAAAAUAAAAUAUUUUAAAUAUUGUAGAUAUGUUCAACUUAUUUCAAUAAACAUAUCAAAGUAACACUUAUAAGUUUAUAAAAUAUUUGGGAUAGUAUUAUUAAAACAUUUUUCAAUCAUUGGAAAUAUUAUUAGAUAACAUGCAAUAUUAUAUAAGAUGUUAAUAAAAUUCGUAUAAAAUCAAUAUUUUAAAAUGUUUCUAUAAUAUUCCUUUCUUACUGGGUUGCGCCCAAUUUGAAUAAAAUUGCUGCAGUAAAUUCCAUAAUUUUGAGAUUGAGCUUAUGUAUUUGCUCUGAGUUAAGGAGUACGAAUUUACGCGUAAAAAAGACUUUGAUUUUCUUUUAUCAGGAUUUUAUUUUUCUUAGUUGCGGCGCAUGCCUCUCUUACAAUCGUCAUACAUCAACAAUAUAUCUACUCUGUCGCACAGCGCUGCGUUUUCUUUGCUUUCAAAAAUCUCAUUAUAUAAAUAAACGAUCAACGAAGUAUAGUAACCAAUCAAUGUGAAACAAAUAUGUGAAACGAAACAGAAUACACAACUGAUUUUUAUCAAAUGAGAUUGGAACAUUAUGAAAAGUGUUACUUUGCCGAUUUUAGAUUUUAUUCACUCUUACGAGUGAAGGUGCAUCCACAAUAAACCGAUAUUAGCCGUACCAUCUUCAUGAAAUUUUUAUUAAUUCUAUUAGUGUAGAUAAAUUUUUUUUUUUUUUUUCAAAAUAACUCAAGUGGAAAUUGAAUAAAAUUGAAAAUACAAUACUGUUAUGAGAUUACUGUAUCAUAAAGGCGUGUCCUCAUUUAUGUCGUAUCACCGUAAUCGUGUCAUGAUUGCAUGUCAAAAUGAUACGUAGAUACGGUAUGCAGACACAAUAUGGCGCCCCGUCUACACUUGGCUGAUCGUGAUACGUGAUUAUGAUAUUUAUGAUACAAUACAAGAGCUACGACAUAAGUGAGGACACGCCUUUACAGUAUCCGUUGUGAGAUUAACGUACUAAAUAAGAGUUUACGAGUUUUCUUGCCUAAGAAUGCUGAAGAGUUGAAAUAUCACAAUUUCUAUGUAAUUGUUAAGUUAAUGGGGUUUACAUAAGUUUUUUCUUAUAUUAAACACUCUACAAUUUGAUUUUUAUUUUUAAUAUCCAAAAUAUGUUAAAGAAAUUAUUAUUAUAUAUGUAUUAUGUAAGUGAAGGUAUAAUUUUAGAUAUUAAUAAUCAUGAUAAUAGAUCCUAAUAAAACAAAUGUAAUUUGAUGAAAUAAUGACGAAAAUUUUUGUGUUAUUUGUAGAAUAGUAUGUAAUUGCACGAUACAGAAAAAUUUUUUCAGAUUUUGUUAAACAAAACUACGAAAAAUUGUUUUGUUAAAUUAGUAAAGGAAUUAAGAAACUCUUGCACUUUAAAAUGUUAUGUUCUUGUAUUUCAUGUUUAAGUUAUUGAAGAAAUAGCGAGCGACUAUCAUACGUUCGUUCUUCGAUGGUCUGGUGGAAUCCUCGAAAUUAUAAGUUAUAGCAAAAUUGCUACUUUUGUUUAUCCAUAAUUCAAGAGCAUAAUAUAAAAAGUAAAAAAAUGAAGUCAUGAUGGAAGAUAAAGAAUCUCUGUUGACAAUUUGUAUAAGAAAAAUUCUUAUGAGAUCUUGUAAGAAAAAGGAAGUUGUUAAAAAAGUGUUAAUUUUAGCACUUCUAAAUAGACCUUAAAAAAUCAUUGUUUGGGUCCUCAAAUAACAAGAAAAAAUACUCACAUAUCUGAAAAGUGGAGAGAACAUUGCAAGAAUAACUUAAAUAUAGUAAAAAAUAAUAUUAACCACGUGCAUGAUUAAUAAAUGGAAAGCUAUAAUUUUUGCUAAAAUUGUGAGUACAUACUGUAUGUGAAGAUUACAGACUACUUUAGCACAAUCCAGGAUACACCACGUGAAGGUAUAGUCCGCCUAGCAUUCCUUGGCAGAAAUUGGGACUCCACAGUUUGUCACUUCUGUGAUAUUUUGUGACUUCAAACUCUUUCUAUCGUGUGUAUGCGUGUGUGUACGAAUGUAUAAUGUAAAAAUAAAAGAAUUCACACCUUGUUAUGUUUUCAGAAUCUGAUGAUUCUUUAUUAGUGAUCAUCGUAAUCAUUUUGUAUAUUUACUCGUUGAUAAAACAAAAGGUGAAAGUGAUAUUAUUAUUGAGCAUACUUGUGGAUGUAAGGUGGGUCAACGUGUUGUUGGAAGUUGUUCUCAACAUUUGUGUAGUUUCUGAUAAAGCUUGAUUUCAAAGAAACAUUUUAAUGCUUGCUCAAUUCCUCGAUAAUUACUUUAAUGAAGAAUCUAUCAGACUGAAACUCGUUUUUAGAUCUGAAAUGGUGUAAAUUUGGUUAUUUUUAUAUUAUACAUUCGCGCACACAUGCAUACACAUGCAUACAUACGGGGGAGGGGGGAGGGAAGAGAGAGAGAGAGAGAGAGAGAGAGAGAGAGAGAGAGAGAGAGAGAGAGAGAGAGAAUGAGAGUGUGUGUGUUUAAAUAGAAAUGUGUUGUCCGUGUAUUGUUGUCAGUCAUUUGAACGCAGCAGGCGUCUCACGGAAACACCCGCGUGCAACAGUGAGUUGCACCGCCCCUGUCUACCACUUGUAUCCGACCCGUCAUACGCUAACUAAUAGCUAACUUUUUUUAUAAUUUGAAAACUAAGCUUUAGACAAAUUUUUGCCAAAGGAAAAAUCGUCUCAGAAUUCGAUUACAAAUAUACCAGUUUUGGGACAAAUUCGUUAUUUUGAAUCACCCUGUAUAUCCCAUUACUUUUAAAACAUAAAAUAUUUAAGUUAUAAACUAAAAUUAAAAUAUGAAGAAAAAUUAAAACAUUAGCUUUAAGUUUAAAUAUUUUAAAAAAUAUGGCAUAACAACCAAAUCUAUAUACUUAUAAAAAAUAAAAAAAUAUGAAAGGACAAAAAACAUUUUUAUGGACAAAUAAUUAAAGGGCUAAUGAAAAUGUUCGCGCGGUACUCAACACGCAAGUUUUUUACUGUUCAAAUCAGCUUCACUUCAAAUAUAACUUUUUAUUAACGAUAUCACAAGUGUGCGAUUAGCUCAGGUAUUAACGUACUAGGUUAAGGCCACGGCACAGAUUUAUUAAUUCUUUUUGCAUAGCUGCAUUACCGUAUGCAUAAGGAAAUUGAUUAGUCCAUUUCCUUAAGCAUGUGUUAACGGACCAUUCAAUUUACCGUUCCGAAAUUGUUCGAAUCCCACCUAUGCGUUUUUAAAAAAAUAUAAAAUAAUUCGUAAUUGUAAUUAGUGAAAUAGAAUAUAUGCGAAGCAACGAAUACGAAUUAAGCUACAAAAAAAUAAUAUCUG